CUUUUUACAUAUACCAGAAUCAACGUAUCAUACUGUACAAACUGAUUUUAUUUCCCACGGGGACUUGCCUGAUGAUUCUUGCAAAAUUUCGGGUUCUUGUCCAGCUACUAUACUUCUGACUGGAACUAAUCAGACUUUUGGAGAAAGUAUGAAUUGGUUUUCUGUGAUCCUAGUUUAGUAGGAGUGAAUCUAGUAUUUUCUAUGAUACUGUUCCUAAUGUAUGUCCAAUUAAUAUGGAACUUGAUAGGUAUGGGUAGAAAUUUGUUCAGCAGUGUCUCAAUUCUUGAUUUUUUGAAUGCAGAAGGAAGUACAGAACCAAAAAUAUGCAAAGCAACGGGACUGAUUGGUAUGUCAUGAAGCGAUCAAGAUUGUUGACCUCCCAAAACCAUCAGGUUACCAAGCGCUCCUGACAUGGAGAUCUAUUCGAUGUAUGGAGUCGACAUUUAAACUGAAAAAGCACAUUUUAUAGAUGGAUACCAAUAGCAAAAUGCAAUAUUCCAUUCCAGAUAUUUCAGGUAAUGAAGAGGAUGAAGAUAGGUGCUUAAGAGUUGGUGUUUUCUUAAUAUAUGGCCAUGAGAUUGUCCCUGCAUUAACCGCAAAAUUCAUGUGUGCUAAAGGCUGAAGCAGAAGAACUAGAUUUAAUUCCUUUGGUAUUAAACUUAUAAAAGAGAGUAUUAUCAUGCUCCCCCGGAAAACCACUCUGGUAUGUACAUGUGCAUAUUCAAUUAGGGGAGAUUAUGUGGACACCAAAAUAGGGUUGCUUUAUCAGUUGCUUGCUAAUGUUCGCUAAUGUGGAUUUCUAUUCAAAGAUUUCCAUCAAAUCCUGUUUUUCUUACUUGUUGUUGCCUUGCGACAGUUUCAACCUAUUUACUUUAUCUCUUCAACUUCGUUCAUACAUUGUUCGUCACGUAUCAAGUUUUACUAUUUUCAUUAUCUUUAUUUUGUUUGUGAUUGACUUAGCUAUGAUUUUUGUGUAUUAUCCGGACAUAAGCUAAAAAGAGUCAACAUGAGUCUAUUCGUUAUCAAAUUUCGGCUCCAAGAAAUGUCAAAAGGUCUCCUCUCACUCCUCUUAUUCAUUUGAUUUAUAGUAUAUCUUUAUCUCUUGAUUCUCAAUUGUGUGAAAAAAAACUUUACAAGAGAUUAUAUUGUGGUUUUAAUCAAUAGGUUUGGUUCUACGAUGCAUAUAUUGCCUCUAUGAUGGUUUAAGCAUAAUUUAGUGCCUCUUUGUUGAAAAAUGAAAUCAUGUUGUAAAAAAGAUUUUUUUAGUACAAACCUUAUUCCUAUUUUAAAACUUAAAAUAACUUGUGGCGUAAUUCAUAUUUUAAAACUUAAAAUAACCAUUUAUUUGUGGCGUAAUGACUUAUUGCCUCCUCUGCAGUAGUGUAACACCUCAGACUUUUAACUUAAGCUUUGAUUAUGGUUCCAAACUUAGAAAACCAGAUAAAGAAUGUGAGAAUUGAAAAUUUCUCUUCAGCUGUCAGAUGGGGAUUUACACCCCAUAAUACGAACCGUAAACCAAUAUAAUACUAGUAUUUCACGUCGUAAAGUGGCACUCAAAGUCACUGUGUAUUCUGGAAGUUGUCUAGUGGAAUUUCAUAUUGUUAAAUACGGACCGUAUUUUAAAAUACGGCUCGUAAAGUGAGAUCAUAUUUAAGAAGGAACAUAAAACAAUGAUUCUGUUUGAAACAUGUUGAAUUACCAUCCAGGUUUACGGACCGUAAAUUAGUAUACGGAUUGUAUUUUCGUCCAUAUUUCCCAACCCGCACUAGAACCUAUAAAUAUUAGCCAAGAUCUUCCAAAUCAAUUCUAAUCAUAUAUGCUCUUAAUCUAAUCAAGAUAUCAUGUUCUUAACAUAGGUUUUUCAAGAAAACCCAAUUAAAAAGCAUAAAGAGCAAAACCUUGGAAUUCUUUUUCCGAGAUCAGAUUAUUAUUCAAGUUUGGGAGCAAUUCCAGGUACAGACGCACAGUUUGGUGAUCUACCCAUUUAGGACACCCUCUUCUGCUGUUUGGAGUGCUCUUCUCAUUUCAGAGCACACAUUUUGGUAUAUAUUCGUUCGCUAUGUAUAUAUGUAUUUGUUCAGGGGCACGGCGGGGCCCUGUCCCGCCAUAUAAUUCGGUUUGUCCGUUUAGAGGUCUGUAGACGUAUUUGUGGGUGUGUGUGCCUACUUCUGUACGGAUGAGUUUGCAUAACUCUAUUUGUUAUGGCAGCCUUGUCGGCUCGCACAUGUAUAUGUUGUUCUGUUGGCCCUGUGUGGCCUUUGUUGGUAUUUGCUGUGUACAGGGUUAUUUUGGAUAGUCCUAAAAACAAAGGAAACUCUGCCGAAAUUUUCUUUGAAAAUCUUAUAAAUUAGAAACACCGCCUUGUCGGCUUCUGUUAUAUACCUGGAUGGGUUUGAUAUAGUCUGAGGUAGUGUUUGAUAUUUGUGUCGGUAUAAGUUAUCUGUUUGCCACUCGGAUUUGUGAUUGUGUUCGGGUGCCCAAUUCGGGCACUAGUCACGACUCACGGGGUUGGGUCGUGAC